rnacentral:RNase_P_RNA from 1 species
GGAGUAGGGCGCGCAGCCGCUCUCCCCUUUUUACAGAACAGGAAGAAAGAAUUGCCUGAUGUGUAAAAAGGGGAGGGAGGAAAGUCGGGACUUCACAGGGCAGCCCGGCCGUUAGCGGCGGCUGCGGGUGACCGCAGGAAAGUGCCACAGAAAACAAACCGCCCCUUUUUUAGGGGUAAGGGUGAAACGGUGAGGUAAGAGCUCACCGGCAGGUGGGUGACCACCUGGCCUGGUAAACCCCGGGUGAAGCAAGACCGAAUAGAGAAGCAGUAGCUCUCUUUCAGAGAGCCAACGGUGCGGCCCGUACCGGCUUCAGGGUAGUGUCGCAUGAGCCUGCCGGUAACGGCAGGCCCAGAUGAAUGGCUGCGGCGCAAAUUUUUGCGUACAGAAUCCCGCUUAUAGCCCUGCUCCUCUC